rnacentral:tRNA from 1 species
GCAGGAUCGCCGACGCAGGAGAGUCGGGGCCGGCUGUAAACCGGUCGCACCAGCUGCUCAGGGGGUUCGAAUCCCUCAUCCCGCACCA